rnacentral:misc_RNA from 1 species
UUGGUUUGUUACCGGUGGUCGGCUCUCUUGCUUGUGCACAACUUCCACCUGACAUGCCUAUUCGUUUGUCCGUUAAGGCUUCUAUUACCUGAACAAACUGUGGGUUUUCUGUGUUGCCUGCCUAACAAAGGGUAUUGAUUUGGCUUAUCUACGUUCCGUUCGUCUUWCGUCAUGCUAUGACGUUAGAUGAACCCUAAACAUGUCUCUUUGAACCACAUCAUUAAUGCUUGUUUAUGUAGUGGCGCAUUGAGCCUUGCUUGGUCUCUUCGAUGUAGUGCUUGAUGUGGGCAUGGGUCUGUUGUGAUCCUUGUUAUGACCCUGAUUAGUGUUUACGCUUCGUARAAUGACUGCUUGACACGCGUUGGCUCGUAAAAGCGUGUUGGGCUUUGUCUAAAAAGAAUGUUACCUGGU